rnacentral:ncRNA from 1 species
AUAAAGUUUUGGUCCUAAACUUGCUAUCGUUUUUAAUCAAAAUUACACAUGCAAGCCUCCACACACCAGUGAGAAUGCCCAAACAACCCUAGACAGCCAAAUGGAGCAGGUAUCAGGAUCAACAAGUAUAAAGCCCAUGACACCUUGCUAUGCCACACCCACACGGGUAAUCAGCAGUGAAUGACAUUAAAGAAUAAGCGAAAGCUUGACUUAGUUAUGAUUAAGCCCUGCCGGUAAAUUUCGUGCCAGCCACCGCGGUUAUACGAAAGGCCGAAAACAAUAGCUCACGGCGUAAAGCGUGACUAGAACCUUAUCUUAUAUUUGAAGAAAAACUCUGUCAAAGCCGUAAAACACUACUGACAUUAGGAACCCCACCAACAAUAUGUCUUCAAACAAACAGACCACUCGACCUCACGAAAGCUAAGAAACAAACUAGGAUUAGAUACCCUACUAUGCUUAGCCCUAAACACAGAUAGUUCCUCAUACAAAACUAUCCGCCAGAGAACUACAAGCGAAAAGCUUGAAACUCCAAGGACUUGGCGGUGCUCCACACCACCCUAGAGGAGCCUGUCCUAUAAUCGAUACCCCCCGCUUCACCCCACCGCCUCUUGCAAUUCAGCCUAUAUACCGCCGUCGUCAGCCUACCUUAUGAAAGAAACACAGUAAGCAAAAAAGUUAACAACUAAUACGUCAGGUCAAGGUGUAGCACAUGAGACGGAAGAGAUGGGCUACAUUUUCUAACGCAGAAAAUACGAAAGGUGUAAUGAAAUACACACCUAAAGGCGGAUUUAGUAGUAAGAUAAAUAAGAGACUUUAUCUUAAAACUGCUCUGGAGCGCGCACACACCGC